UGAGGAAUAUUGGUCAAUGGACGCAAGCCUGAUGCAGCAACGCCGCGUGAACGAUGAAGGUCUUCGGAUCGUAAAGUUCUGUUGCAGGGGAAGAUAAUGACGGUACCCUGUGAGGAAGCCCCGGCUAACUACGUGCCAGCAGCCGCGGUAAUACGUAGGGGGCUAGCGUUAUCCGGAUUUACUGGGCGUAAAGGGUGCGUAGGUGGUCUUUCAAGUCGGUGGUUAAAGGCUACGGCUCAACCGUAGUUAGCCUCCGAAACUGGAAGACUUGAGUGCAGGAGAGGAAAGUGGAAUUCCCAGUGUAGCGGUGAAAUGCGUAGAUAUUGGGAGGAACACCAGUAGCGAAGGCGGCUUUCUGGACUGCAACUGACACUGAGGCACGAAAGCGUGGGUAGCAAACAGG
rnacentral:rRNA from 1 species